CGAACGCUGGCGGCGUGCCUAAUACAUGCAAGUCGAACGCACUUUCGUUAGAUUGAAGAAGCUUGCUUCUGAUUGAUAACAUUUGAGUGAGUGGCGGACGGGUGAGUAACACGUGGGUAACCUGCCCUAAAGUGGGGGAUAACAUUUGGAAACAGAUGCUAAUACCGCAUAAAACCUAGCACCGCAUGGUGCAAGGUUGAAAGAUGGUUUCGGCUAUCACUUUAGGAUGGACCCGCGGUGCAUUAGUUAGUUGGUGAGGUAAAGGCUCACCAAGACCGUGAUGCAUAGCCGACCUGAGAGGGUAAUCGGCCACACUGGGACUGAGACACGGCCCAGACUCCUACGGGAGGCAGCAGUAGGGAAUCUUCCACAAUGGACGAAAGUCUGAUGGAGCAACGCCGCGUGAGUGAAGAAGGUUUUCGGAUCGUAAAACUCUGUUGUUGGAGAAGAACGUAUUUGAUAGUAACUGAUCAGGUAGUGACGGUAUCCAACCAGAAAGCCACGGCUAACUACGUG
rnacentral:rRNA from 1 species